UACAAAAUAUUUUUGAAGUUUUGAAGGGCAUAUUAGAUAUUAUUUCAAAAAUUUAUACACUUUUCAACUGCAUGCAGUUAAAUAAAUAAUUUAUAGUUGCAUCACAUUUUAUUAUAUCUAAUCAAACAAGAUAUAUAUAUAACUAUAUGUACUUUUAAUUUAGAAAAAAUUUCAAAUACCACCCAUGUAUUUUCACACUUAUUCACUUUAGUAUCCUGUGGUUUUAUUUUUUUUUUUUGUUAUCCCCUCUACUAAUUUUUUUCGUUAAAUCAGUGACAAAGUUAAAACUAAAGAGUACUAAAGUAAAUAUUCGAUAAACUAUAGUUGGGUAUCUGAAGUUUUUUGUAUAUGAUUUAAUGAAAAAUAACGGAAGGGCCGACAAAAAGAGAAAAAUGAAAUCACAAAUACUAAAUUAAUACACUUUAAAUCACAGGAUAUUAAAGUGAGAAAAUGCGAAACUAUAAGGAUGGUAUUUGAAGUUUACCCUUUAAUUUAUGUGUAUUUUAUUUUUUUCAUUUACAUUUAACCAUAUGGAUUAUGAAAAAAUGUGCUUUAGUUUGACCGAACAUUCUCCAAAGUUCUAGAAGGUCUAGAAGUUAUUCUUCUCCGUUUUCAACGAAACUUAGUCCUCAUAUACGGCCCAUAAACCUACGCACUUUCCUUGCAUUUUAAAUUAGGGUUAAUUACCUAUAGGUCCCUACAAAUAUAAUAAAUUAUAAAUAUUUUCUUAUAAAGUUCAACUUUUAUAUAUUGUCCCUACAAAAGUUCUAAUAUCUUCAAAUUUGUCCCUGCCGUUAGAAACCGUUAGAAAAAUUUAGUUAAUCAUAAAUUAAAUACUUAAGUCUGGUUAGUUUGUGAGAGAACUUUACAUUUUUAUCCCUCUUAUAUUAUACUAUUGUUGUUUUUGGAAGGACAUAUUUGUGAUGACAAAAUUGAUAUUUUGCUUAUUUACUGUUAAAAUAUAAACAAUUCUCUAACAGUCAUAAAACAGAGGAAUAUAUUUAAAAAUAUUAAAACUUUUGUAGAAAUAAUUUAUAAAAAUUGAACUUUGUAGAAAUAUUCUUGUAAUUCACUAUGUUUGUAGGAAUUUGUACGUAUUUAACCCUUUAAAUUAAGAUAAAAUUGUGUAG
rnacentral:lncRNA from 1 species